AUCAACAACAACACACACACGCAUACAUUACAUGUUAAUGUUAUCUAUCUCCUAAUUUUCAUGCAUUAAUCUCUCUUCUUUAUACUUGUUCACUACUCAUCAUCAUAUAAAGAUUCUGUUCCAAUCUAAACAAACAACCUUUAAUUUUCAUUCUUCCUCUCUUUCUUUCUUGUAACCAAAUUUCUAUUUCUCUUAUAUAUAUAUAUUUACCAAUACAUAGAAAAAAACAACAUAUAUAUAUAAAACACAACAAAAAACCUUAGGAGUUCAACGUCAACAAUUCUUCAUGGUCUUUUUCUCUCUGCCUCUAUCUUUUUUUUGUAUCAUUCAUUAUCAAUAAUUAAUUUUCUUAAUAUUCAUUAUUUUUUUGGUUUUCGUUUUGCAGACGAACGAAAUUGAGAUCAAAUAUGAAGAGGUAUGUUUGAUCAAACACCAACAUGAAAGAAACAUCUUUUGUACAAAAAAACAUAAUCAUCGUAUCAAAAAUCUCUGUUUUUUUUUUUUU
rnacentral:lncRNA from 1 species